GAGUAGGGCGGGACACGUGGUAUCCUGUCUGAAUAUGGGGGGACCAUCCUCCAAGGCUAAAUACUCCUGACUGACCGAUAGUGAACCAGUACCGUGAGGGAAAGGCGAAAAGAACCCCGGCGAGGGGAGUGAAAAAGAACCUGAAACCGUGUACGUACAAGCAGUGGGAGCACCUUCGGGUGUGACUGCGUACCUUUUGUAUAAUGGGUCAGCGACUUAUAUUCUGUAGCAAGGUUAACCGUAUAGGGGAGCCGCAGGGAAACCGAGUCUUAACUGGGCGUUAAGUUGCAGGGUAUAGACCCGAAACCCGGUGAUCUAGCCAUGGGCAGGUUGAAGGUUGGGUAACACUAACUGGAGGACCGAACCGACUAAUGUUGAAAAAUUAGCGGAUGACUUGUGGCUGGGGGUGAAAGGCCAAUCAAACCGGGAGAUAGCUGGUUCUCCCCGAAAGCU
rnacentral:rRNA from 1 species